rnacentral:rRNA from 1 species
GUGGGGAAUAUUGGACAAUGGGCGCAAGCCUGAUCCAGCAAUACCGCGUGUGUGAAGAAGGCCUGAGGGUUGUAAAGCACUUUCACUAGGGAGGAAUACCCAAUGGUUAAUACCUGUUGGACUGACAUUACCUAGAGAAGAAGCACCGGCUAACUCCGUGCCAGCAGCCGCGGUAAUACGGAGGGUGCAAGCGUUAAUCGGAAUUACUGGGCGUAAAGCGUGCGUAGGCGGCGCGUUAAGUCAGAUGUGAAAGCCCUGGGCUUAACCUGGGAACUGCAUUUGAAACUGGCGGGCUCGAGUUGAGUAGAGGUAAGUGGAAUUUCAGGUGUAGCGGUGAAAUGCGUAGAUAUCUGAAGGAACACCAGUGGCGAAGGCGACUUACUGGACUCAAACUGACGCUGAGGUACGAAAGCGUGGGUAGCAAACAGGAUUAGAAACCCUAGUAGUCC